AUUGAACGCUGGCGGCAUGCUUUACACAUGCAAGUCGAACGGCAGCGCGGGCUUCGGCCUGGCGGCGAGUGGCGAACGGGUGAGUAAUGCAUCGGAACGUGCCCAGUAGUGGGGGAUAGCCCGGCGAAAGCCGGAUUAAUACCGCAUACGACCUGAGGGUGAAAGCGGGGGACCGAAAGACCUCGCGCUAUUGGAGCGGCCGAGGUCGGAUUAGCUAGUUGGUGGGGUAAAGGCUUACCAAGGCGACGAUCCGUAGCUGGUCUGAGAGGACGACCAGCCACACUGGGACUGAGACACGGCCCAGACUCCUACGGGAGGCAGCAGUGGGGAAUUUUGGACAAUGGGGGCAACCCUGAUCCAGCCAUGCCGCGUGCGGGAAGAAGGCCUUCGGGUUGUAAACCGCUUUUGUUCGGGAAGAAAUCCUCUGGGCUAAUACCCCGGGGGGAUGACGGUACCGGAAGAAUAAGCACCGGCUAACUACGUG
rnacentral:rRNA from 1 species